AUGGUCUGUCAUUCUGAAAAGGUGAUCUCCAUUCAGGUGCAAAAUCACAGAAAAGUGAGAACGCACCCUCUCAUCGUCGCAUACAUGGGCGACAAGAGUUUUCUUCCCAACUCCAGCACCACCAAUGAUUGGAAGCACGGCCGGAGCUGUGUUUUGAUUUUCGGCCGAAAAAAGUGGAUUUCGGCCGAAUUUCGGCCAUCUCGGCCUGGGGCGAAAAGUGUAUUUAGACCGAAAUUGUUCAAAUUUAGCAAAUUUUGGUCAAAUUUAAGUCAAAUUGCAGUCAAAAUUUGGCCAAAUUUCAGCCGAAAUUUUUGA
rnacentral:rRNA from 1 species